CUAGCAGUAUCAGAGUUUGAUCCUGGCUCAGAUUGAACGCUGGCGGCAGGCCUAACACAUGCAAGUCGAGCGGAUGAGUGGAGCUUGCUCCAUGAUUCAGCGGCGGACGGGUGAGUAAUGCCUAGGAAUCUGCCUGGUAGUGGGGGACAACGUUUCGAAAGGAACGCUAAUACCGCAUACGUCCUACGGGAGAAAGUGGGGGAUCUUCGGACCUCACGCUAUCAGAUGAGCCUAGGUCGGAUUAGCUAGUUGGUGAGGUAAAGGCUCACCAAGGCGACGAUCCGUAACUGGUCUGAGAGGAUGAUCAGUCACACUGGAACUGAGACACGGUCCAG
rnacentral:rRNA from 1 species